AGCAGAGUAGUGCAGUGGAAGCAUGCUAGGCCCAUAACCUAGAGGUCCGUGAAUCGAAAUCACGCUCUGCUA